GAUAUUUACUCAAUUGAUCGUUGUUUUUACAUGUUUGACAGAGAACUGUUAUCCAAAGUUUCAUCCCAUCAGCAAGGAUUGAUACCUACUUGCCACACAUGAAAGCAUGAUCUGUCUACAGACUGAAUAAGUGUUUCGGAUCAAACAGCAAAGUCAUGUACGGGUUGCUGAGCCUAGGGUAGUCAUCAGUUUCACUUCGAACUCUGUCCUCUCUGAUCUUGAGGACAGUCGGGUUAAUUUCCCUGAUGAUCGGUUCCGUUUCCAUAGUUACGAAGAGUUUGAGGCAGCAUGUGACCUCAAAGGUGAUCUUUACGAUUAUGUUGGGCACUUGAAACCGGUGAAUGGGCAGACACUGAAUGACAGUGUGGUGCUUGACGAAGAGGAAAUAGCUUCGACCCGGCGGCUUUUGCUCCAUGUUUAAACUCAUGAGUAAGUCAUUCACAGUGUCUUGGAUUUAUUAGUAUACUGUUUCUCUAAUAACUUGGGUUUAUUUUAAUUGUAAUGGACCAGUGAUGAAGCUCUACCUAUGGGACCAGGCUGCAGCAGACUUUUGUGCCAAAUUCAAGUCGCAUGGAAGCACUCCAAGGGUUAUUUUAGUAACAACCGUCAACCCAAAACGUUUUGGAGGUGCUCUUGCUCUUGCUUCAAUGUCAUCCUCUCGGGUGUUUUUGGACUUUGAUGUUCAACCAACCCGUGAUUAUGUCACUUGGUUGGACUCAAAUUUAGAUGUGGCUAAUAGGGUUGAUGCA